UACGUAGGGUCCGAGCGUUGUCCGGAAUUAUUGGGCGUAAAGGGCUCGUAGGCGGUGUGUCGCGUCGGGAGUGAAAACUCGGAGCUUAACUUCGAGCUUGCUUUCGAUACGGGCAGACUAGAGGUAGGCAGGGGAGAGCGGAAUUCCUGGUGUAGCGGUGGAAUGCGCAGAUAUCAGGAGGAACACCGGUGGCGAAGGCGGCUCUCUGGGCCUUACCUGACGCUGAGGAGCGAAAGCGUGGGUAGCGAACAGG
rnacentral:rRNA from 1 species